rnacentral:lncRNA from 1 species
GGUGCGCCUGUUAGAUGCGGAACAUACAGAUAAGGUAAUAGGUAACAGGUGAAUAUACUAUUGGUAUUGGUAUCGGAUUCGACCCGGAACUUGUUAAUUAUUGGCAAUAUAAAUUAUGUGGACUGCAAAAGGGUCUGGAGUGGUGUAAUUUUUAAUCAACACCAAUGUCCUAUAUUAGCUAUAUAUAAAGUUGAAUUCUUUGAUUUGCCGUUUUUACCUGAUGACGGCUGACAAAUUGGACCUCGUCAUUUUAGUAUUAUAGAUGAUCCCUAUAGUAUAAUCUUUCUAAUUUUAAUACCAACUUAGAUUAUUACCCAAUUUCACGGUCCAUGGAACAUGGGAAAGGAUAGUGCGAGUGGAGC